GGCCUGGCUCAGCAGUAAAGCAUCUGCCUUGCAAGUAGGAGGGCCUGAGUUCAUACCUCAGUACUGCCG
rnacentral:tRNA from 1 species